CACGGAGUUAGCCGAUGCUUUUUCUUCGGAUACACGCAGUCCGGGACACGUCCCGGGUUUUGUUCUCCGACAAAAGAGGUUUACAACCCAUAGGGCCGUCUUCCCUCACGCGGCUUGGCUGGUUCAAGAUCUCUCCCAUUGACCAAUAUUCCUCACUGCUGCCUCCCGUAGGAGUCUGGUCCGUGUCUCAGUACCAGUGUGGGGGACCUUCCUCUCAGAACCCCUACGCAUCGUCGCCACGGUGGGCCGUUACCCCGCCGUCAAGCUAAUGCGCCGCAUGCCCAUCCUCUUCCGAUGAAUCUUUCCUCGAUCUCGGAUGCCCGAAACCGAUAUACGCGGGAUUAGCCUCCCUUUCGGAAGGUUGUCCCCCUGAAGAGGGCAGGUUGCAUACGUGUUACUCACCCGUGCGCCGGUCGCCGGCAAGGAAAGCAAGCUUCCCUCCCGAUGCCCCUCGACUUGCAUGUGUUAAGCCUGCCGCUAGCGUUCAUCCUGAGCCAGGAUCAAACUC
rnacentral:rRNA from 1 species